rnacentral:rRNA from 1 species
GACGAACGCUGGCGGCGUGCCUAAUACAUGCAAGUAGAACGCUGAAGGAGGAGCUUGCUUCUCUGGAUGAGUUGCGAACGGGUGAGUAACGCGUAGGUAACCUGCCUUGUAGCGGGGGAUAACUAUUGGAAACGAUAGCUAAUACCGCAUAAGAGUAGAUGUUGCAUGACAUUUGCUUAAAAGGUUCAAUUGCAUCACUACCAGAUGGAGCUGCGUUGUAUUAGCUAGUUGGUGGGGUAACGGCUCACCAAGGCGACGAUACCUAGCCGACCUGAGAGGGGGAUCGGCCACACUGGGACUGAGACACGGCCCAGACGCCUACGGGAGGCAGCAGUAGGGAAUCUUCGGCAAUGGACGGAAGUCUGACCGAGCAACGCCGCGGGAGUGAAGAAGGUUUUCGGAUCGUAAAGCUCUGUUGUAAGAGAAGAACGAGUGUGAGAGUGGAAAGUUCACACUGUGACGGUAACUUACCAGAAAGGGACGGCUAACUACGUG